GUUUUUUUUUUUAGAAUCGGGUCAACAAUAUGGCAGAAUGGUGAAUAUCAUGAACAUACCACAAAUAAAAAAGUAUUAUUCCUGGAUGUGUUUGAAUAAUUUUAUAUCUACGACGAUGUCAAAUGCACCUGAACGACAUCUGUAGUGAUAGAACAACCCCAUCUACGACGUAUUCCUGUCCCUUACAUCACAGCAGCACAACGCGGGUGGUAGUGGAACGAUACAGACCACCCUCGCAACCACUGCUUAAGCAGGACGAUACACCGAUACCAAAUCUUACACCUGUUUCGUAACGACGUCUUUUUGAGAGAGAGAAUGGGGGUAACACUUCAGUUUCGAGAAGGCCGUUCGAAUAAAAUGCGGGUACCGACGUUUCGAAGGAACAUACUGCCUUCGUCUUUAGGACAUCACCUAUCAACAAGUCGACACGGGGUGGAGUCGCAGACCAUCAUGGACAUCUUCACCGCCGUGAGGACCUCAGCUCUUAGCCACGGUGUAAACAUGUGAUCAGCUCUGUCCCUAGGCUUAGAUCAGAUGAUGGUAUUAAAAUGGAUCUUAAACAGUCG